rnacentral:rRNA from 1 species
AUUGAACGCUGGCGGCAUGCUUUACACAUGCAAGUCGAACGGUAACAGGUUAAGCUGACGAGUGGCGAACGGGUGAGUAAUGCAUCGGAACGUGCCCGGUCGUGGGGGAUAACGCAGCGAAAGCUGCGCUAAUACCGCAUACGAUCUGAGGAUGAAAGCGGGGGACCGUAAGGCCUCGCGCGAUCGUAGCGGCCGAUGUCAGAUUAGGUAGUUGGUGGGGUAAAGGCUCACCAAGCCAACGAUCUGUAGCGGGUCUGAGAGGACGACCAGCCACACUGGGACUGAGACACGGCCCAGACUCCUACGGGAGGCAGCAGUGGGGAAUUUUGGGCAAUGGGCGAAAGCCUGAUCCAGCAAUGCCGCGUGCAGGAAGAAGGCCUUCGGGUUGUAAACUGCUUUUGUACGGAGCGAAAAGGUCUCCUCUAAUACAGGGGGCUCAUGACGGUACCGUAAGAAUAAGCACCGGCUAACUACGUGCCAGCCGCCGCGGUAA